rnacentral:lncRNA from 1 species
GUGGUAUCUAUCAAAAUGAAUGGUGAAGAGGAAACAUGGAAAGAGCUGGAUGCCGAAUUUGAUCGCUGCGUUGUGGAUGUGAAGCCCCACGUCCUAAAGCUGCAGCAUAGGUCAGAACGCCAAAGGUGUGCACUGUGGGUUAAAAAACUGUGUGAGCCCUCAGGAGCGGGUACAGGGAUAGCGGGAAGGAGGAAUCGGAACUCAUAUGCAAAGCUUUUGCUCCACAUGCUGAAACGAGGAGUGCUCGAAGAUCCUUUUACACAUGAACCAGAACCAGGAAUGCUGAAAACAUUACCUUCAUACAUGUUAAUUUAUUUUGAUGAACCAAAUUCAACAAGAAUUCAAAGUAGUAGCCCAGACUACUUACCUGACUGGGUGAUGGGAGAGUUAGGAAAAGGUGAAUCCAGGCAUGAGGAAUUGUGGACUUUAUCUUCUAAAGAAGAAUCACCUUCAGCAACAGCACUUACAUAUGAAGAGAGACUGAAGUAUGAUGGGAAGCCAACAUUGAGAUCCCAGUCUACGAGUCCUCUUCUCCGGACUGAUGAAGAUGACCUAGCAGCACCUCUGCCUGACCAUCAUCAUAAGAAAACUAUUUCUUUGGAUGACAGUGACCUUGAUGCGCGUCUCAGUAGUUGGAACCUUGGGG